rnacentral:tRNA from 1 species
GGAAAGAUGGCUGAGUGGCCGAAAGCGCGUCCCUGCUAAGGACGUAUACCCCUAAAGGGUAUCGAGGGUUCGAAUCCCUCUCUUUCCG